GUAGUCUCGACUGGAGGAGUCAGUGUCAGCGCUGGAACAGUUUCAUGUGUCUAUUUCUAUAAUAUCAAUUACACUCUUAUGGCACCAAGUGUGAAUGGCACAAAUGUUAGAGAUGUCAACAUCGGAGCAAUGAGAACGUGACGCAGAUUGCAGACCCAUUCGAACACUACGUAAUUUUAAACCACCAAGGGUUCCUUGAUCCCAGCCUUAGUCAAAUGCUGCCUUGAUGCUGAGGGAAAUGACUCACCUUACCUCUUAGAAGAAUGCAACCACUAGCACAUAUUUACACACAGACUGAUCCCACCCUUAAUGAUUGUUGUGUAAAUCCAGAUUUCCAUUAGGCCAUCAGUGGAGAAAUAUGACUUCCCAGAGUGGAAGAUCCAAUGAAUGAACAAGCGCACACUGCUCUUCCUUUACUUCUCAAUCAGAUCAAGAAAAGGAGCCAAGCUCUGAGCCACGUUAUGACAAGGAGGAAAUUUACUCUGUGGACCAAUAAACUUAGCAUUUUCUCCUUC